AUUGAACGCUGGCGGCAUGCCUUACACAUGCAAGUCGAACGGCAGCACGGGAGCAAUCCUGGUGGCGAGUGGCGAACGGGUGAGUAAAGUAUCGGAACGUGCCCGGUCGUGGGGGAUAACGUAGCGAAAGCUGUGCUAAUACCGCAUACGAUCUAUGGAUGAAAGCGGGGGACCGUAAGGCCUCGCGCGAUUGGAGCGGCCGAUAUCAGAUUAGGUAGUUGGUGGGGUAAAGGCUCACCAAGCCGACGAUCUGUAGCUGGUCUGAGAGGACGACACGCCACACUGGGACGGAGACACGGCGCAGACUCCUACGGGAGGCAGCGGUGGGGAAUUUUGGAAAAGGGGCGAAAGCCUGAUGCAGCAAGGCCGGGUGCAGGAAGAAGGCCUUCGGGUUGUAAACUGCUUUUGUACGGAGCGAAAAGGUCCUUUCUAAUACAAGGGGCUCAUGACGGUACCGUAAGAAUAAGCACCGGCUAACUACGUGCCAGCCGCCGCCGUAA
rnacentral:rRNA from 1 species